UACAGAGGUCUCAAGCGUUGUUCGGAUUCAUUGGGCGUAAAGGGUGCGUAGGUGGCGUCGUAAGUCGGGUGUGAAAUCUCGGGGCUUAACUCCGAAACUGCAUUCGAUACUGCGGUGCUUGAGGACUGGAGAGGAGACUGGAAUUUACGGUGUAGCAGUGAAAUGCGUAGAGAUCGUAAGGAAGACCAGUGGCGAAGGCGGGUCUCUGGAAAGUUCCUGACGCUGAAGCACGAAGGCCAGGGGAGCAAACGGG
rnacentral:rRNA from 1 species